AUUAGCUAGUUGGUGGGGUAAAGGCCUACCAAGACAAUGAUGCAUAGCCGAGUUGAGAGACUGAUCGGCCACAUUGGGACUGAGACACGGCCCAAACUCCUACGGGAGGCUGCAGUAGGGAAUCUUCCACAAUGGGCGAAAGCCUGAUGGAGCAACGCCGCGUGUGUGAUGAAGGCUUUCGGGUCGUAAAGCACUGUUGUAUGGGAAGAACAGCUAGAGUAGGGAAUGACUUUAGUUUGACGGUACCAUACCAGAAAGGGACGGCUAAAUACGUGCCAGCAGCCGCGGUAAUACGUAUGUCCCGAGCGUUAUCCGGAUUUAUUGGGCGUAAAGCGAGCGCAGACGGUUGAUUAAGUCUGAUGUGAAAGCCCGGAGCUCAACUCCGGAAAGGCAUUGGAAACUGGUCAACUUGAGUGCAGUAGAGGUAAGUGGAACUCCAUGUGUAGCGGUGGAAUGCGUAGAUAUAUGGAAGAACACCAGCGGCGAAGGCGGCUUACUGGACAGUAACUGACGUUGAGGCUCGAAAGUGUGGGUAGCAAACAGGAUUAGAUACCCUGGUAGUCCACACCGUAAACGAUGAACACUAGGUGCUAGGAGGUUUCCGCCUCUUAGUGCCGAAGCUAACGCAUUAAGUGUUCCGCCUGGGGAGUACGACCGCAAGGUUGAAACUCAAAGGAAUUGACGGGGACCCGCACAAGCGGCGGAGCAUGUGGUUUAAUUCGAAGCAACGCGAAGAACCUUCCCAGGUCUUGACAUCCUUUGAAGCUUUUAGAGAUAGAAGUGUUCUCUUCGGAGACAAAGUGACAGGUGGUGCAUGGUCGUCGUCAGCUCGUGUCGUGAGAUGUUGGGUUAAGUCCCGCAACGAGCGCAACCCUUAUUGUUAGUUGCCAGCAUUCAGAUGGGCACUCUAGCGAGACUGCCGGUGACAAACCGGAGGAAGGCGGGGACGACGUCAGAUCAUCAUGCCCCUUAUGACCUGGGCUACACACGUGCUACAAUGGCGUAUACAACGAGUUGCCAACCUGUGAAGGUGAGCUAAUCUCUUAAAGUACGUCUCAGUUCGGACUGCAGUCUGCAACUCGACUGCACGAAGUCGGAAUCGCUAGUAAUCGCGGAUCAGCACGCCGCGGUGAAUACGUUCCCGGGUCUCCCACUCACCGCCCGUCA
rnacentral:rRNA from 1 species